rnacentral:rRNA from 1 species
UACAGAGGUCUCAAGCGUUGUUCGGAAUUACUGGGCGUAAAGGGCUCGUAGGCGGCCAACUAAGUCAGACGUGAAAUCCCUCAGCUUAACUGGGGAACUGCGUCUGAUACUGGAUGGCUUGGAUUCGGGAGAGGAAUGCGGAAUUCCAGGUGUAGCGGUGAAAUGCGUAGAGAUCCGGAGGAACACCAGUGGCGAAGGCGACACGCUGGGCCGUACCUGACACUAAAACGCGACAGCAUGGGGAGCGAACGGG